UUUUUUCUUUACUUGAAAGGUGACAUUUGAUAGUGUUGGUAGUCCCCGCCCGUAACUACCCCAUAAAUCUCCAUUACCCGGAAAUAUAAUGGGAACAAAAAGGGAAACAGGGAACCAACCGCGCGAGCUGGUAUUUUUUUGUAUUUUCGCGCGGAAAGGGAAAACGGAAAAUUCUGAUAGUUCGAGGGUCAAACUGCAAAACGCACCAAACCACAAACCGGAAAGGGAAAACCGGGAACCAACCGCGCAAUUGGUUUUCCUUGCGGGAGCGCUCCGCGCGCGACACGACACUUGUCACGUGCGGAGCGCUCCCGAACCGCUCGUUACGAGCGCUCGGAGCGCUCGUUAACUAGUUUUUUUUUUUUUAGGUAAAACUAGUUGCUCCCCAUGUUAGUGCUCCAUAUCUAAUGGGCUCUACCAACUCAAAAAAAAUCUAAUGGGCUGUACACAUGGGCUGAGGAUGGGGGGGCGAAGCAGGUUACGUACAUGGAGGCAAGCAGAAAAUUUAGUGGAUCGCUAAUCGUUAUCGAGGGAGCACUCGAUCGUUAGGGGGUCUCGCCCCCCCUCGUCCCCCCUUAGAAUCGUCCCUGGUGCCGACACCCCUCUCCAUCUCCGACUGCUGCUACUCGUGACACGGCGGCACGGAUCUGACGUCUCCCGGCCAUCUCGACGCGGCAGCCCAUGGAAUCCGAGCGAUGAAGGGGCCUCGCCAUGGCCUUCGUUCUCCACUUAUUCGUCCUCUCAUCCGUGGCAGCUAGAUCUUGUAGGCCUCAAGCACCACCACCAACAGGAUCCAGGCGAGCGUACGGCUGCUCCUCCACCGUCCCGUCACCCGCCGUCCAACGGGCGAGACCGAGUUCUCCGAGCACCGCCACUUGAUGUGCAGGUAAAGAUGUACCUCCGUUUGCAUAAGAGAAUGUUCCCCAAUUAAAGACAAAUACUCCCCCGUUCCUAUAUAGAAGCCCUUUAGAGAUUUUAAUAUGGACUACAUACGGAGGAAAAUGAGUGAAUCUCACUCUAAAAUAUGUCUAUAUACAUCCGUAUGAGUCCCUAGGAACAUCUCAAAAAGGCUUAUGUUUAGAAACAGAGGGAGUACAUGAUAGUACAUCAAGUGUCUUAAUUUUCGUACCACAACUAAUAUUUGAACUUUUGCUUUUCCCGAAACUCUCGGGUGUAGCAUGCGAGAUUUACAAAAUGGUUUGGGAAUUUAGAAUUGAUCUACGCAUUGGAGUGUAACUGUAGUUGGAGUAACCAUACACAGAUGGACAUUAUAAUUUAACACCUCAAAACAAUGGUCCAGCAAAUUCUUCCCCUGAUGUCAGCUUUUGUGGCUUGAGUAAGCGUCAACGGCAUCCAGGCCCAACAAUAAUCACACAAGAGCAAUCAAUGGUGGCAGAUUUUUGCAUAAUGUAACUUGAAUUAUGAUGUGACUGUUCGAUUUAAUUAUGUAUCUUGCUAUUUUUGCAACAAUGUUUCUGAAUGAUGUAACUUCAAAUGACUUCCUUGAAACUCACCUCUGAAUAAACAAAUUGGCGCAUCUCAUACUCA